rnacentral:rRNA from 1 species
CAGCCGCCGCGGUAAUACGAAGGGUGCAAGCGUUAAUCGGAAUUACUGGGCGUAAAGCGUGCGUAGGCGGUGAGUUAAGUCUGCUGUGAAAUCCCCGGGCUCAACCUGGGAAUGGCAGUGGAUACUGGCUCGCUAGAGUGUGUCAGAGGAUGGUGGAAUUCCCGGUGUAGCGGUGAAAUGCGUAGAGAUCGGGAGGAACAUCAGUGGCGAAGGCGGCCAUCUGGGACAACACUGACGCUGAGGCACGAAAGCGUGGGGAGCAAACAGGAUUAGAUACCCGGGUAGUCCCUGUCUCUUAUAA